rnacentral:tRNA from 1 species
AGUAUGGUGCCUGAUUAAAAGGAUAGUUUUGAUAGAACUAAUAAUGUAGUACCUACCCAUACUA